GGACUACAAGGGUAUCUAAUCCUGUUUGCUCCCCACGCUUUCGCAUCUGAGUGUCAGUAUCUGUCCAGGGGGCCGCCUUCGCCACCGGUAUUCCUUCAGAUCUCUACGCAUUUCACCGCUACACCUGAAAUUCUACCCCCCUCUACAGUACUCUAGUUUGCCAGUUUCAAAUGCAAUUCCGAGGUUGAGCCCCGGGCUUUCACAUCUGACUUAACAAACCACCUGCAUGCGCUUUACGCCCAGUAAUUCCGAUUAACGCUCGCACCCUCCGUAUUACCGCGGCUGCUGGCAC
rnacentral:misc_RNA from 1 species